rnacentral:lncRNA from 1 species
UUUCUCCUCCGCAUGUGAUGUUGUCAAGUUGGUUGUUGUCUGUACUAGGUACCGACAAUAUUCGAAACCAUUACGAAGUACUAGUUCAGAGCAAACAAACAAACAAAAAAAACAAGGUGGGGGGGGGGGGCGCAAUCAGAUUGCAUUCCACCAUCUGUUCAACAUUUACUCAUGUUGCUAAGAAGCAACAACAAUGUCAAUUAAAUGAGCUAAGCGGGGCCGACAUCAUCAUCUCGCACAGCAGAUGGGCCAGAAAGUGCCUCCAACGAAGAUGGACCGGCUGUCUCAGGGAGGUUCUUCAUGUGAUGCAAGCACAGAGUAUAGCCUGGGUGUGCAAUCUGGCUGCAAACCCACCAACGGCCAUUUUUCUGGUUACACCACCGCACUGGUUUCGUGAUUAUCACUGGCCCGUAAAAGUAUUCCUUUAGUGGUUCAUCUCCUUCGUUGUCUAGCGUAUCAACUUCUUCUUCCAUGUCUUUCGCUUCAUGAGCACUAUCAUAUCCAAGCAUAAAACCAAAUAAACAAUAUAAUAAUAUCCACACUAAAUAUAAAAAUAAUAUCCAAACACCAAAGCUAAAGUGCAGAAAUUCACAACAUAUGCAUAAGCAUACCAUUGAUGCCAUCAGGACGGAAGCUAGACACUGAAAUUAAUUAGCAACUUGUUGUUUCUAUGUCGAUUAAGAACUUGAAGAUUAGAAGAUGAUCCUACAUAUUGCUCCACUCUUACGAACGCAGAACACUUUUCCACACUUAUAUAAGCUAGAUGCUAUUCGGCGCUUUGCUGCGAAAAUCGAUUCCGAUAUUCUUUUAAUAAAAUUUGGUUGUAUGAAACAUGAAUAUUUGAAUUAAUAAUAUAUGAACUGAAACUAAAAAUACAUAUUUAUGGUAUUGUAAAAACAUAUUUAUUGAACAUAAGUAGCAUUUUAUAUUGGGAAAAAUACCUGCAUGUUGUGGUGGAAAUUUGAUGAGCUGGCAUGUGUAAUGAGAUGGGAUGUGUGCAUGUUAAAAUAAAGUGUAGUGUGGACCAACUAAAUAAUGAAAAACUUUUUUCAUGCUUGUUGAGGUGAGCUUUUGAUGAGGUGACAUGUAUGCAUGUUUAGAUAAGUAGAAGUUGCGUGGAUCAAAUACUUAAGUAUGUAUAGGACUAGUACCAAUGGAACCGCUAAUCGGAUUACCCCAAGUUAAGGCGAUUACUAAAGCUAUCUGCUGAAUACAAGGGACAGAUCAAAAUUCAAUGAUCUGACAAGAAAUAUACUACUCCCUUCGUUCCCAAAUAUUUGUUUUUUUAGAGAUUUCAACAAGUGACUACAUAGAGAGCAAAAUGAGUGUAUCUAUACUCUAAAAUAUGUCUACAUACAUCCGUAUGUUGUGUCCGUUUGAAAUGCCUAAAAAGACAACUAUUUGGGAACGGAGGGAGUAUAUAGUUAAAGCAGACGAUUAUGGUGUACGCAUCUAAUCCGACAAUUCUGAUUAAUCAUUUUGUAAGGGUCGUCCUUGCGUCUAUGGGGCCUAAUACAUACCUUUCCUUUCUGUAAUGCAUGUCGAAUCUAGAACAUAUGUAUGCAAAAUGAAACGCUAGGGCCGGCCGGGUAGCACAAGUACCUGGACUCUAUCAGACCAGUAGUCACCACCAGAGUCCUGUCAGAAGAAUCAUCCUGCCCAUCCGUGGCCACCUGCAAACAUUGGACGCCCAUGCACGUUAAAUUCCAAAUCGACAUCCUACCAAGAAAUGGAUGGGUCUGGAAAUUCUUGCACCACCCGUAAGGAAAGAACAGAGUGAUAUUUUAGGGACAGGUGUUUCUACUUACCUCUGCGGUAGAUUCAUCUGGAACUGGAUUAUGUUCCUCCUCCAGAUCAAAGUCCUCCGCGUGAGCGCUCUCGCCCUUGGGGCCGGCGGUUUUCCUCAGCAGAAGCAGGUACUCUGCCGCUUCGUUUUCAGUAGGCAGGGGUGGGGCUUGCUUGGUAGCCGGCGACGUGGCAGGGGAGGACGACGGAUCCAUCUACUAGAUUGCUCGUUGGUGUCGUGCGAUGAGAUCCGAGGAGAAAGAUAGCGAGAGCGGAGAUGGGCUGGAGGUGUUGUAUGGCCUAUGCUGUGUAUAUAAAGGUGGUGUAGUAAAUGUCUGCCUGAGUUGGCAAGGUGACAGCGCGCAUCUAAUCACCCUAUCAUAAAUAGAGAAAUUGGGUCACGUUUCUUGCCCCUUUUACGCUUCAGAUAUUUUAUAUCAAACUUUAGGGAUUACUAUUUCUUAAAGGCCCCUAUUUGGCUAAUUUUUUUAAAAUAAAACAUUUUUUUUCAUAAAUUUAAGAAAUAAUACGUGUUUUUUAAAUUUUAACAAAAAUAAUACAGGGUCGGUUCAUGCGAAGACGAUUGAGACUAAUUGGCCAUGGCGAAACCAAUUGUAUUUCAAUGGGCUUUGGCAAAGCCAAUUAAUAUCUUGUCGCCCUUGGUAAAGCCAAUUGCCCAGUCGGCUUGAAGUAGAUAUUCAAUUGGUUUUAGUGAAACCACACUGAAACCAAUUAGUGGCUGUGGGCAUUAGUUACGGCGCUUGAAGUAUACGGAUUGAAUUCUUUCUUUUUCUAUAGGUCUUUCUGAGCAAACUUGACAGCUGCAUGUGCCCAUAUUUUCGCUAUAUUUUGCACUAUAAUUUUACACCGUAAUCUUUCCCACCAUCUUCUUUCCCGCCAUUUUUCCCGUCAUUGUCUUUCCAGCCCAAUUUUCGCGCCAACCCCUUACCCGCAUUCUAUAAAACCACCUCCUUGCCUGUUGUCUUCUGCAUAUUUCCUUAGCAAUAUUUCCAGUCAUGUCCAACGACAAUUCCCGCGGUUUUACUCCACUGAUGUGUGAUUUGCUCUUGUGGAAUGCCGGGAGAAUGCUGAUGCAUAGUAUGGGAGGUGUGCGUUUUGAAGAAUUAGAUACUAGUGAUAGGCACCUGACGGAGCCGGGUAAGUGUUUUUCCCAACCCGGUCUCCCCAAGAAGUGCCCGGAAAGGAACCCAUAGGAGAUUCGACAAGAACUUCUCCGUUUACGUGGUAGGUGGGAUACGAUUGUUGAAAUCAAACUUAUGGGUGCCCGCAUUGCUGGUACACUCUAUCUUGACUGUCCAAGAGUAAAAUUUCCACAGAAGCAAUACGAGGACCACAUGAAGGUAAGUCAUAUUUCAUUUCAGCUUGCACCAUGUUAGUCCAUAUGCUAUUAUGUAACUAUGUUAUUAUUGUUUUUUCUAAUUUUCAAAUCAGGUACCUGAGGACACGGAACUGUUGAACAAGGAUAUUAAACUUUGGAUGGAUGGAGAUUCUCUGAGGCCCUAUAUCUGAGGUAUCAUGACAAAGUGCUGCAUCAGCGAGGGGUGGCGCUAGCUCGAAGAAAUUCAUUGAAGACAAUGAUGAUGACUUUAUGCCAAGCAAACAAGCUCAAAAACAGAGGAAAGGCCCCUGUUGCAUCUGAGAGAGGUGGAAGCAGCUGUAAGAAAGUGAAGAGCAACGAUGAUGACUUUAUGCCAAGCAAGAAAGCUCAGAACAGAUCCAAGGGUUGUGCCUGCUCGAAGAGUGGUAAAUCAAGAAAGAGUGUAGCAUCAUCGAAGUGUGCGAUGUUAAAUACGAUUCUGCAGAUGAGUUUAUGCUAGGGAAACUAGUUCAGGUAACAUUUGAACGCAUCGUGAAGACCUAUGGAAGCCCCAUGUUAGUGCGAAUAGUGAGGAUGACUUCAUGUAGUUGUUGCACGUCUUAUCGUAGGAGCAUUAUGGUGUAUCUUAGUUUCCUGUUGUAGUUAUUGCACGACAUUGCAGAAUUAAUUUGUAGUAUCAGAAUUAUCCCCACUAAACUAAGUAAGCACUAAAAUACCACCACAGAAAAAUUAACCCUACUGAUAGAGAAUUCUCCUCGUGUCAUUUGUCCCAUACAUAGAAUAGGCAUAUGUCGCAUACAUAAGUAGAUAGUCAUGUCUCUAUUGAUAGAGAGAAGCGUCACUGACGAUGUCUGUCCCGGCGACCAAGCGGUGGAUCAGGCAUCAUCCAGCCAUACCUGUGGGGUGCCCUAACAUUACGAGCAGGAAUCUUGGACCCGUACUGGUCAUAUUGUGUAUCAUGUGUCGGGCCUGAGGGUGGAAUACAUGUCCAUCCAGCUGGUGUGCUGCGACAUGUAAUCCUGUCUGUUCUGCCCACCUUCCUAAUCACUAUCCCACGCGGAUCCGGACAUAGUGGCCUCAUGUCCAUACAUAGACAUCUGAUAUCCGUAGGCUCCUACAAGAGGGAACAUAAGGACUGAAGAAAUACAUAGUCCCAAUUGAUAUCGAAAAGAAUAAGUACUAAUAGCCUGCUGGCUGUGGCCUCAACAUCAAGCCCGACGUGGGACCCUACUGCUGUGUGUGUGGCUGAAACACGAAGCCCGAUGUGGGCUCCUGUUGGUGAUGCACGCUGAACUUCCAGCCUGGUUCGGAGGGGGUGGCCUGGUCAUCGGCUGUUUUGCUAGACGUGGAUGACACUGAUGUCGGUCGGUGGUGUGCGGGUUCUUGCUGGUGCGUGGAGUGACACGGGGGGCACUGUAGGGGCUGCUGGUGAACAACGUCUGAAGUGCGGGUGCAUGUGAUAACCGUGUAGACAUCUGGUAUCUUCCCCUCCAUGCGUGUCACCUAGGUCUGCAGCUUAGGGCAAUGUGGAAAAAGAGCUCCAGACAACAGCGAACGUCCAAAGUUGGUCAUCUCGGCGUGAAGAUCGAGUGUCAACUCAGCCUGAAAUUGUCACGAGUAUUAUUAAGUAUGUACGGCGAAGUAUGUAACAACUAGAUGCAUUAGAUAAAGAAAAUAUAUGUUACCGCGUGCUGUCUGGAGCCCGAAGUAUCAUAGCUCAGGUAAGUAUCCAACGUAGAAGGGGUCAGUAUUUCGUCUGGGUGAGGGUGUUGAAUGAUGUGUAUCCGUGCUACGCGCAUGUACCGCUGCAAAUAGUGAUUGAAUAGACCGAGAUUAAACCCGAGAUUCUCGUGCCAGACCCGUGUCGUUGAAGUCUCCCGGUCUAUAAUGUAUGGUUGAACCCUGUAUAGCCAUUGAGUCUCGGUCUUGCUAACCCAUUCGUCUGCGUUCUCUUCAUGGGACUCAUCGGAAUCAUCGGCAUGAUCACUAUAUAUCACCAUCUCUAUCUUCAUCUUCCAUCUGGUUUUGCAUGUGCUAUCUUGUCAUCACCCGACUCGCCACUGUGACAUAACCAUCGGCAUUUCCUGCUUCUACCUGACCGCUCCGCGCUGAUUCGUAACCAUCAUAUCCAGUAUCUGACACAUAAUUUGACAGUGAACCAUGGAUCCCUUCACUGCUCUGGCCAGGUUCGUAACCACCCUCGCCUUCAGAUGCACUGACCUGCUUCAAGACGGGAAGCACUAAAGCGACAGGAUGGCAUGCCCUGCUUUCACAACCUUGUAGCCAGCGCACCCACUGAUAGUCCCGCUGUAUUGGCCUCAAAUAAAAGUAAACAGUUGAACUUGACCGGGUCCACAAUGCAUGAACACUGACGGUGUAUGUUUCAGUAUUAAGCCCUAAGCAUCCAGCCAACCGGUCUAUCACACCAUGUUUGAGGGGCAGUCAGUGGCACCUCUAUAUACUGAAAAUCACUCAGACCAUCUCCCAUCUCAUGUUUUUGGACAGUACCAGGAACGUAGUAGAAAAUGAACUUCACUACAUCAACAUCUCUGCCGACCUAAAAAAUUAUUCAACAUGGACAACUAUUAAGCAGCAGGACAUCAUAGUGUCUAUAGUAUUCAACCUACAUAAAUAAAGAAUACUAUUGGACCAACUAAAAAAUUUCGCACACCUAAAUAUUUGACAUCUAAAUAUAUUAACGAUCAUUAACGGACCAACUACAUAAUCGCACACCUUAAUAUUUCACAUCUAAAUAUAUUACCGAAUACUACCAGACCAACUAUAACUGAAUAUUCGCACACAUAUGCAAAUAUGAAGGACCAAAUGCCACUUGAAUCUUACCCUUGAAGCAUGCGAAGCAACUCCAUUCGGCGGCCUUCAGUCACCGGAGCACCACCACCACGCACUCCGCCACCGACACGAGUAGCACCACAACCACCUCCACCACCACCACAACCAUCAUCACAAUCACCACGAGCUAUCCCAUCAUGAGAUCGAGGUUUCCCUUGCCUCCCCCAACCCUCUAGAAUGCAACUACAUAUGAUGGAAAAUGGGCAAGAAAUCGGCUUAAAUUCAGGUAUUAAAUUGAAGGAGGUCGUGUAGGUGAGAGAGGGAAGUAGGGAGCAAGGAAGAAGAAGAGGAAAGGCGCAAGAAGGAGUCGGUCGAGGCUUAUUGGGCUCCUGUUGGCUUCAGCGUAGCCGAAAGUCUUGUCGGCUUCGGCAGAGGCCGACUCCAUGCCUCACCUGCCCGACUGGCUGGCCAUGACGUGGCUCAGCCACUAAUCAGAUGCCAUGUGGCUGAUUGGGUACUACUCGGCUUAGGCCAACCCGACUAGAUGCUAUCGGCCUAGUCGCGACCGAGUGGAUCCAAUCGGCUAUAGCUAAGCCGAUGUUGUAUUAUUUUUAUAAAAUUUCGAAACCGCGUAUUAUUUCUCAAAUUAACAAAAAAUGUAUAAUUUUUUUAAAAAUUAGCCCAUAUUUGACGGUGUGUAACAGGGCCCCAAAUAACUGUCGAAGUGUUAGGGCUCCUAAAUGAUUGUCUAAGAGCAUCUCUAGUAUAUCCCUCAACAUUUAGGCCCUUAGAUCAUCUUCAAAGUGGACCCUCAAAUCUCCUACAAGCAUCCGACCGAGCUGUCCAAUGGCAUCCUGCAUCGGUCCAUAGAAAAAUCUGGAUGUCUAUUUCCCUGCAAACCAGAAGCAAACUAAAGAGUUUUGCGCAAGUCCAUACACCAGCCUUGUAGGACUCCAACACCCCCGCUCAUCCAAAACCCCGCUCGAACCCCACGUCUGCGUCCUUUACUCUUUCUCUGCAUCCGUUUUCUCUCUUGCCAACGUCACUGCUCUACAACCCGGCACCGUUUGUUCUCAUCCCACAAGUUCAACCCAUGUAGGUCAAAUUCCUGUUGUUUGUGCUCAUCCCAUACACGUACACUGUUUCCAUUUCACAGUUGUAAAAGUUCUUCAACUAAUGGCCUUAGGUACUCAUCAAUGUCAUUGCCGGAUUUCUUAGGGCCUUGGAUGAGAACUGACAUCAUAAUGAACUACCGCUUCAUACACAUCCAAGGAGGAAGGUUAUAUAUACAUAGAGUCACAGGCCAGGUGUUGUGAUUGCUGCUCUGCUCCCCAAAAGGAUUAAUGCCAUCCGCGCUUAAACCAAACCAUACGUUCCUUGCAUCACCCGCAAAGUCCUCCCAGUACUUUCUCUCUAUUUUUCUCUACUGCGACCCAUCAACAGGUGCUCUCAACUUCCUGUCUUUCUUAGGGUCCUCUUUGUGCCAUCACAUCAACUUGGCAUGCUCUUUGUUUCUGACCAGACGUUUCAACCGUCGUAUUAUAGGAGCAUACCACAUCACCUUGGCAGGAACCCUCUUCCUAGGGUGCUCGCCGUCAACAUCACCAGGGUCAUCUCGUCUGAUCUUAUACCGCAAUGCACCGCAUACCGAGCAUGCGUUCAAAUCCUCGUAUGCACCGCGGUAGAGGAUGCAGUCAUUAGGGCAUGCAUGUAUCUUCUGCACCUCCAAUCCUAAAGGACAUGCAACCUUCUUUGUUGCGUACGUACUGUCGGGCAAUUCGUUAUCCUUUGGAAGCUUCUUCUUCAAUAUUUUCAGUAGCUUCUCAAAUCCUUUGUCAGGUACACCAUUCUCUACGUUCCACUGCAACAAUUCCAUUGUGGUACUGAGCUUUGUGUUGCCAUCUUCGCAAUUGGGGUACAACCCUUUUUUGUAAUCCUCUAACAUAGAUCGAACUUCAGCUUCUCCUUUACAUUUUCGCACUGUCUCUUUGCAUCAACAAUGACCCGACGAAGAUCAUCAUCGGGCACAUCGUCCGGUUCCUCUUAAUCUUCAGCUUCCCCCACUGCAGCAUCGCCGUAUUCAGGGGGCACAUAGUUGUCAUCAUCCUCUUCUUCUUCACUGUCUUCCAUAAUAACACAUGUUUCUCCGUGCUUGGUCCAAACAUUAUAGUGUGGCAUGAAACCCUUAUAAAGCAGGUGGCUGUGAAGGAUUUUCCGAUCAGAGUAAGACUUCGUAUUCCCACAUAUAGGGCAUGGACAACACAUAAAACCGUUCUGCUCGUUUGCCUCAGCCACUUCGAGAAAAUUAUGCACUCCCUUAAUGUAGUCGGAGGUGUGUCUGUCACCGUACAUCAAUUGCCGGUUCAUCUGCGUGCAUUAUAUAUAAUUAAGUGUGUCAAAAACCAUUACAGAACAUCAUGAAUACAGAAGUGACCAAAACAAUUGAUCCAACGGCAUAAUGAUACCAAACCUCAGUAUGAAUGACAUAUUUUCUAAUCUUUCUAAUCUUCAAGCGCAUUGCAUCCAUCUUGAUCUUGUGAUCAUCGAUGACAUCCGCAAAAUGCAACUCCAAUACCAUCUUCUCCUCCUCAAUUGUUUUCAUUUUUUCCUUCAAGUAAUUGUUUUCUUCUUCAACUAAAUUUAACCUCUCGAUAAUAGGGUCGGUUGGAAUUUCCGGUUCACAUACCUCCUAGAUAAAAAAACCCUAUGUCACAUUGCUCGACAUAAUUGUCAUAAACACUAAAUGAAACAAAUAGUUAUAAAAGAUAAUAUAUAUACCAUAUCCGAAUCAUAGACACGACGAGGGACGACGGAGGCGUAUACCAAAACCAUCGCACUAUAUAAUAACAAACAAUAAUAAGUAAGAAAACUACACAAAUAUAUAUCUAAAUCAUACAAGUAAGAACUUUUUUCAUUUAGAAAGAAGACAAGAACAAGAGGCUCACCAUGUUGGUGCCGGCGACGAGAUCGGCACGGGCAAUUUUCGGCAGUGAGGACGGAGAUGGGACAGGACGGACAACCCAACCUAGACAAAUCUUGAGAAAAAUGGAGCUUGGACAAGGAGCUUCGAGAGGAGAAAGCUUAAGUGUGGCUCGGGGCAUUUCAUCGAACACCUCAUGUGCACAGAAGGUGAGCUAGAGCACAACGCACCUCUCACACACCUCUCCCAAAAAAGCAGAGCACUCCACUACUCUACUUGCGAGCAAGGGGUAUAUAUAGGCAUCUCAUUGGUCCUGGUUCAUGGCUGGAACCGGGACUAAAGGACAACCUUUGGUCCCGGUUAAAGCCACCAACCGGGACCAAUGGUGGUGGGCUAGGAGCGAGGCCCAUUGGUCCUGGUUCGUGCCUAGAGCUGGGACCAAAGGGGCUAGACAAACCGGGACCAAUGCCCCACGAGGCCCGGCUGGCCCCCUGGCCUCACGAACCAGGACCUAUGCCCCCAUGGGUCACGGUUCGCGAGUGAACCGAGAUUAAUGGGCUUUCCUUGCUUGGACCAAAGCCCUGUUUUCUACUAGUGCUACAGAACUCUGCGCUUGGAGGCCCAACACGAGUCUACAAGAACAAGUUGUGUAGUAGACAUCAGGCGACCAGCUGGGUAGUGGAAUUAUAGGGCGCGCAGUGGCAGGCCGGCCUAGGAGGUCGGCGAAGCACGAGGCGGUGGUUGCCGGAAGGAGGAAGCCAGCGGAGUAGCGGUGGGGAGCGUGGGGUAGAGGAGGCGAUGCAGCGGCGGCCGCAGAAGAUGAAGGAGAGGCUAAUAGAGCCACCCACGCAGCGCCUAUAACACUUAUACUCGUGCAAGUAGACAAAGUGUCAACGCUUUGCCGAGUUUUUAUGUGUGGGAGCUCGGCAAAGCUGUGACCCUGGCACUCCCUAUCAAAAAUAUGGAAAAAGAUUGCCAUGUUUCCAUUUGUGAAAAUUCGGCAAAAAUAGACUGUCGUCACUUUCCCUUAGUCUAGCCAUCGGAAGGGCCCACCUAUCAAGACAUUGUUGGGUAUGUUUCCAUCGAAACUCGGCGAAGCUAUGACUUUAUUGAGUUUCUUAUUAUCGCCGAGUUCUCUUUGUUGAAGCUUGGCCAAUGAGAAUGUGUGUCGAGUUGCUAUGCACUGCCGAGUUCAAAGUCAGUGUAUUUGACAAACGUUUUCCAAUGAUGAGCUCCUGAUAAAAGAAACGCAACAAACACUGAAAACUCGACAUGAACGGGGAUUCCAAUAUUGCAUAUUGACGAGGUAGGAACGACAAGGGGGGGAUUAGACCAGGAAGCAGAUUGGCCCAGGCCAACGGCGCAACCCACAACAUGGAUGAGCCUCCACCGCCCAAAUGCAGCCCACACGGUCGGUAGGGUCAGCCAGCACAUGAUGCGCCAUCUGCUGUAUGAGAUCAUUGCUGCCCUGGAUCUAGGCCCCUCCCUUGCAAUGACGCAGGGAAGCGGAGCCUCACUGCCACCUUCAAUGGACGACAUGCUGAAGUGUCGGCGAGCUCCUCGGGUGACAGCGGGGACGGGGGAGGGCGGGGUGGCUGCGGGGCUAGGGUUAGGUCGCUCUUGUGUCUCCCGUGAGGGGCGAUGUGAGAGUGAAUUAUAUGAAUACUCACUAUGAUACGUCUCCAACGUAUCUAUAAUCUUUUAUUGUUCUAUGCUAUUAUAUUACCUGUUUUGGAUGUUUAAUGGGCUUUACUAAGCACUUUUAUAUUAUUUUUGGGACUAACCUAUUAACCGGAGGCCCAGCCCAAAUUGCUGUUUUUUUGCCUAUUUCAGUGUUUCGCAGAAAAGGAAUAUCAAAUGGAGUCCAAACGGAAUAAAACCUUCGGGAGAGCUAUUUUUGGAAAAAAAUGUAAUCCAGGAGACUUGGAGUGGACGUCAACCAACAAACGAGGAAGCCACGAGGCAGGGAGGCGCGCCCUAGGGGGGUGGGCACGCCCCCCACCCUCGUGGGCCCCUCGUGGCUCCCCUAACCGACUUCCUUCGCCUAUAUAUACCCUGAAAACAUCCAGGAGCACCACGAGACCCUAUUUCCACCGCCGCAACCUUCUGUACCCGUGAGAUCCCAUCUUGGAGCCUUUCCCGGCGCUCUGCCGGAGGGGGAAUCGAUCACGGAGGGCUUCUACAUCAACACCAAAGCCUCUACGAUGAAAUGUGAGUAGUUUACCACAAACCUUCGGGUCCAUAGUUAUUAGCUAGAUGACUUCUUUUCUCUCUUUGCAUCUCAAUACAAAGUUCUCCUCGAUCUUCUUGGAGAUCUAUUAUGUAUUCAAGGUCAACUUUGGAUGACACGUAAAUACAUCUAAAGUCGAUGCUAAAUAAAAUACUCAUUUCAUAGAAAAAUUUACCGUAUGCCAAAUGAAUAUGCACAUUAUCUUUGGAUGUACAAGAAUACUCCCAAGUACAGUCAUUAAGUUUUCUCUUUACUGUUAUUAGUCAUAUGCCAUAGAACACCUUUAUGUGAAUGACUACCACAUCACAACUAAUGAACUUGAUUGUUCAGUACCACCAUUUCCUUUAGUAGCAUUGCCAUGCACCAGAACAAUUGUCCAUAAUAUUAUCAAUAUGUCUUGAAACUAAGCGAGACCACUUUGACUGUUAACAACUCAAUCAAAAGAUAACCAUUCAUAAAAAAAUUAUCCCAUGAUAAUCGGUCAAGAAAAUUUUAUGUCGUCCAUUGUACACGCACACUAGUAUACCAUUUCUGGAUCGAGAACUCGUUUGCCAUCAAAUGGUCCUAUGUAUGGCACUUAUAACAACACAAACUUUAAUAUCUUGGUUGUUAUCCAAGCAAUGCUUCUCACACAUGAUAAGUCAUUUAAUUUGUGAUAGCUUUACAUGCAUGCAUGGACUAUUAAUCUACAAAUGUUCACGCCCUUUCUCACUAUGGCAAUACUAUCACAUUAUUGCCAUGUACUUAUGAUCAGAACCAUCCAUGCAUACAUGUGACUAGUCAUAUUGUUUAAAAAAUCUAUCACACCUUAUAAGAAAUGAAUAAAUUAUGUCAACUAUAAUGUGAAAUCAGAAAUCUUUUGUACUUCAAAAAUGAAGUGUCCCAUAUGUCACAAGCUAGGAACAAGCAAAAGCAAUUUUUGCAUAAUUCUAAUUUGCUAUUUAGUCAAAAUAAAUGAAAAUAAACUGAAUUCCAUCUACCAUAAUUCUCACCUUUUCUCGAUAGAAAAACAAUCAAUGAUACACACCCAACAACAUGAGUCUGUAUCAAUCAUGAGAACCUUCAUGCAAGAAACAAAAACAUUAUAGGCAAACUUUUUUUUGAGGUGAACAUUAUAGGCAUACUAGACGUCUAAUUAACCAAGCUCUCGAACGUGGCUGAGUUCCAUUAAUAAAGAGACCAAACUUCAUGCCAAAGGGGUGUGCUUGCAGAACACAAUGCCCCUACACAAAAUAACAAAAAAAACUAUAAUCUGCCAUCGGCUGAAUAGGUGAACUAUUAUGUUUGAAUUAUAGUAUUACACUCAAGUCUCAAAUGAACAAUAUUCAAUUAAAUCAUUUUCUGUAAUGAAUAUGCCAUAAUACUUGCCUUGAUUGCUUACUGAGAAUAACAAAUAUAUCUAAAUCACUCGACAUGAUUAUAAUAGCACGCACCGUCACCUUGCCAAAAUCCCAAGAUCAUAUAUAAUGUGUAAUAGUGCAACCAUAUACAACUUAAUAAGUUUGCGAAUACUGUCAUUAAUAUUCAUUGAAAAAAUUCCAUCCUCACAUGGACUUAAAACUAGAUGCAUGCAUAUAGCAUGAUCAUACAUUUACUUCAGAGAAAAUGAGAUUCCUUUCUUGAAUAUGUUCCGCCCCACUAUGCACAUAUAAUGCAAUUUUUGUGCACUAGCCGGUUUUUGAUUAAUGGGAUGCUUCUCCAAAAAUUUGAGUUUAAGAAUGUUUCAUCUUAAGGAGACCAACGACAAGAACUGAAAUCUUGAGACAAAAGAAAUCGAAGACACAUAACUUUCAUGGUGAAUCAGAAGUACAAAUAAUCUAGCUUUAAUACCAAUUGUAAGAACAACUGUAAUGCAGAAACUUAUAUCCAGGAUCAUUUUGCACAACGUUGAUUCAACCAUUUGAUUUCUUUUGUAUAAGUACCUGAUGUCCCUCUAAUCCUUGCAAGAACAACAAAAUCAUCAACGAAUAACUCCACAAAUUAUAUGAAACCUCUGGAGUCUUCGAUGUUGACGUUGCCCGUGAUAGAGAGGUUUCUCUCCUCUCUUCCUCCUUUUAGUGUUCCCUCAAUGAUCAGAGAACUAUGCUAUUAUGUGUAUAUGCAUGUCCAUAAUAUGCGAGCACCAGUUCUCAUAUGCAUUCUCUCAUUUCUAAACACAGACGCAUCCACAAACCUUAUUUCAUAGAUGCCGCAAGUCUUAAUGAUGUCCGUUGAUUGCCUAAUGAAUAACUAAUCACUACUUCAAUAGUCACAUAAGAGGCGUCUCCUUCAUUGCCUACAUAUCCCUUAAAUGGUCGCGUCCCUUGGAACAGACGCCUUGUUAAGCAAUUAGCACUUGGUAAUUAACUCUUGAUGCAAGUCUCUUAUUCACUCAUAUACACCACUUUUAUAAUAUUUUGAAGGGAAAUGAGAGGCCAUUUAAAUCCAGAAUUCUAAAUCUUUUAUAUCUAGUAAUCAUCACGCUAGCUUGCUAGUAUUAAUCUAGAUGUUUUAAUAUUAAAAUUAUUUCUACAAGUUAUAUGGGCCACUGAAUAUCCAAAAUAUUCUUAACCAAAAUACACAUAUAGUUGAUCCAAUGCAUUACUACUGGGUGUCAAUUGUCAUUGAUGAUUAUUAUUUUUAAGUCCAUUAGACCCUAUUUUGGCUUCAAGAGAUUGGACCUGUGAUUGUGAAAUUGGAAUCAAAUUCCCGAUAUUAGGGCAUUUGCCUGCAGCCAGACAUUCCUCAGAAUGCGAUAGCGUACUUUUUUUUUCAUUGGUUUCUACGGAAUGACCAGAUAACCCAGUGAUCAAGUUAUAGUUCAGAAUUGUGUUUUGAACAUUGCAUCAUGUGAUUUCCAUUUAUAUAGCGACAAAUACCGAUUCUCUCCCAUAUGCUUCUUUGCUCCUUAGCAGCCAGCAUCCCUCCUUAACCACAAGAUAAAAUGUCAUAUUUCUUCCAAGCCCUCGUCCAUCUCCAUUAUCGUCAUUUUGCCUCUUGGUCUAGCAUUGUCAUCGCUUUAAAAGCCUACCAUCUUGCCUUACCAUCGCCUGUCACCUUUUUAAAACUUCAGCGUAUAUGAAAUGGUACAUGUGCGGCGAGAAAUGAUUGCCUAUUGUAUGUCUGAUUGACAAAUGGAACGGUUCUCAGCUACAGCAAGAGAAGUGAAAGAAGCAUGUACUGUAGUGUCAAUGUUUGUUCUUAUACUUGGACCACAACAGAGAUAAAGGGUGACAAUGGUUUUGCUGCCAUUGAAGGCGAUAAAAUUCGGAAGUUUCUCCCCACAGCACAAGGGAUGCUAAGAAAAUGGUACCUUGUUGAUCAGCCCAUCAUCAAUCAUUCAGUCACUGAUGCUCUUCAACAGCUCGAACACCACCCCGACUUCACUGAUGCUGAUUACAUGAACAGCAACAAGUUCACAAAGUAAGGCAAUGUCUAGUUUUCUGUGCUUCUGAAAUUCUGAUCCGCAUAUAAUUCUUUUGAACUAUCUACAUUCAGUAAAUUCAUGUGCCAUUAAUCUAUAUUACAUGAGAUUUUUAUUUUAGAUGCACCGCAUGAAAAAAGAUCGUUAGUGGCAUUUCAAGCUUCCAGGAUCGAGUUAGUACAAGAAUCUCCUGCCUCCUGAGCAAGACUAACCCAGAAUGUAAAACACGAUGGCAGAUGGCACUCUACUGGUGAUGGACGCUUGUCCUACUCAACUUUAUUUCCCUACGGUCGACAAGUCUUGCAUGAGCCUGUAUAUCAAUUCUGCCAAUCCCCACACUGAUAAUCCCACUUCCUUGCUCGGUCAAAUGCCUUUCACUUAUUUGGGGUUGUGACUUGGUACCAUUUGUCCUUCAGGGCAUGAUUGUGAUAGAUUUAAACGGCGAUUGAAUUCAUGUUCCGGGCUCUUGUCUUAUAGACAAAGAUUUGUAUAUGCAAAUUGUUCCCUUUGGGGUCCAUGCCCACCCUUUUCAUGUGCUCCCAUUAAGCUUCAUAAAUCAAAAUAGUGGAUCCAGCGUGUAUGCAUAAUUUAUGGGGAAAAUAUGAUGCAACACAAGCCAAUUUCAUUAGCUGCAUGGAGCGGGUUUUUUGGCCAAAAGAUAAAGUCGGUUAGGGGAUUAUAAAUCUGUAGUUCAGAAUGAUGCUCAAUUGCUGAAUAUUCAUAAUUUUUUAAAACAAAGAGGGUCCUCCCUGGGUUAAGUUAAUUUGAUAUUCUAGAUCUCAAUAAUACCAUGCACGCCUAAAUGACGUAUUUCUUUCUUUCGAAAGAUAAUUGAAUGCCUAAGAAUGGUCUAUGGCAAGGUUAACUCCCAGUGUGUACUGCUUUGACCUCAACCCAGGUAUUUCAGUGUUCGAUGCCUUACAUGUUGAGCACUAAAAUCUCUCUAGCUUUAUUAACAGGUUUAUGUAGAACUGAAGCAGUCAUGAAACAAGAUUGAGGUUCAUGCAAGACAGGAGCUAAUUAAUCAUAUUUUUUCUGUAGCUCUUCACUUCAGCUAGCCACUACAAACUCAUGUUUCAAUGCAUGCAGGCUUAAACUUCUGAAAAGUAGGUGCCCCAAAACAAAAUGUUUUUGCCCGGCUGCCUUUGAUGGACAUGUUGAACACACGAGAUAUGAUGCGAGAGUAUGUGACGAUGAAGACAUUGACACUUAAAAUCUAGUCUAGUUGUGUGUUGUGAUCUCACAAUUCUCAAGAGACAGGGUAUUACCUUUUUUAUGAGUGACUUUGCUCAGAAAUGCUGGAGAGUUGCAACAGUGGCCAAACCCAGGAAAUUCCACGUCCGACUCCUUUAACAGUGGCCCGAUGUACUCGAAUCUGAAUCAACAAGUGAAGGACCAAAUUACACUUCUAAAUUGAAGGGGGGUGUAAUGAAGUAGACCUCUUUUUACAUUUCUAGAACCUUUUCAUGUGGAUGCAUGUUGAGCCAUCUCAAUGUGGCUAUUAUCUUAUAUAUGUUGNNNNNNNNNNNNNNNNNNNNNNNNNNNNNNNNNNNNNNNNNNNNNNNNNNNNNNNNNNNNNNNNNNNNNNNNNNNNNNNNNNNNNNNNNNNNNNNNNNNNNNNNNNNNNNNNNNNNNNNNNNNNNNNNNNNNNNNNNNNNNNNNNNNNNNNNNNNNNNNNNNNNNNNNNNNNNNNNNNNNNNNNNNNNNNNNNNNNNNNNNNNNNNNNNNNNNNNNNNNNNNNNNNNNNNNNNNNNNNNNNNNNNNNNNNNNNNNNNNNNNNNNNNNNNNNNNNNNNNNNNNNNNNNNNNNNNNNNNNNNNNNNNNNNNNNNNNNNNNNNNNNNNNNNNNNNNNNNNNNNNNNNNNNGCUACAAUCUUAUAUAUGCUUGUUCUCAACUUUCUUAGAUGGUACAAUCUCAGUGGCAGCAACAUUACGACGUACUAGUUCAUAACAAAUAGGUAGGUAAAAAGUAAAGUCGGAUUACAAGCUAGCAACCUUAUGUUCAACAUUUGUCGAUCUCACUCCUUUUGUUCGGUGGCAACACUCCUGGCAUCAAUAAUAUCAAUGAAGAUGAGUUAAGCGGGCUUCACAUCAUCUUCUGGAACAGCAGGUGAGCUCGAAAGUGCCUCUGGCGAAGAAGGGUCGGAUGUCUCCUCCCAGUCUACAGCUUCAGACAUGCCAGUGCUAGCUUGCAGCUCAUUUGGAUAUAAUCUGUUUUGUAAGUAUUUACGGCGGGUUAUGAGAUGAUGCCAGCACAUAGCAUAGCCGAGGUGUGCAAGCUUGCGGCAAAACCACCCUUUGCCAUUACUCCGGUUACACCGCCGCACUCCUUCCGUGAUUUUCACUGGCUCGUAAAAGAACUCCUCUAGUGGCUCAUCACCUUCUUCGUUGUCUAGCACAUCAACAUCUUCUUUCAUAUCUUGCGCUUCAUGAGCACUAGCAUAUCCAAGCACAAAACCAAAGAAACAGUAUAAAAAUACAUAAUCAACAUGGAAUGUACAUACAUAUCAUAUCCAACAAGCACAAAAGCUAAAGUACAGAAAUUCCAAACACAUGUGUAAGCAUACCAUUGAUGCCGUCACGACGGAUCGAAGCUAGAGGUUCAGAUGAAUUAGUAUGUCUCUAUGUCUAUAAGUUGAUCAAUAACUUGAUAUUUAUAAAGAGAUGAUCCUGUAUGUUGAUCCACUCCUAUGUAUAAUUACACUAAAAAUGUUUCUGCAGCAUAGCGGAUAGCGCAUCUACCAGCAACCAUGAAAUAGGAAGUUUUAAGUUUGCAACAAACGGAAUCGUAUAUGCAUACAGAAAAAAAAAACUAUGCUGAAAGAAGCAUCCUACAAUUUUGCAAUCUGGGUUGACGACGCAGAUCUAGUUACUGAUUACUGCGAAAUUAACAAUGCACAUGCACAUACAAGCAUGCCGAAACACGGUGUUUAUGCCAGAUUACCAACGCCAAAACAUGUUUCUGCAGAGAUAUCGACUAGUACCAAUAACAAAAUGGCUAAUGGGUGGGACUACCCGAAGUUAAAGGGAAGUGUUAAUGCCCAGCUAUAUGCUGAAUACAAGGGUCCGAUCAUGAUGUACGCAUCUAAUCAGACAAUUCUGAUAAAUCAUUUUGUGACUUCGUGCUUAUGUGUAUGGGGCCUAAUAUCUAGCUAGGCAUGUACAUGGUCUCUGUAAUCCACGUCUAAUCAAGAACAUAUAACGGUGGUGUAGCACAAGUACCUGGACUCUAUCAGGCCAGUAGUCACCACCAGAGUCUUGUCAGAAGAAUCCUCAUCCCAAUCCAUGGCCACCUGGAAACAUUUGACGCACAUGCACAUUAAAUUCCAAAUCGACAUCCUAAUUAACCAAGAAAUGGAUGGGUCUGGAAAUUCUUGCACCACCGGUAAGGAAAGAACAGAGUGAUAUUUUAGGGACAGGUGUUUCUACUUACCUCUGCGGUAGAUUCAUCUGGAACUGGAUUAUGUUCCUCCUCCAGAUCAAAGUCCUCCGGGUGCGCGCUCUCGCCCUUGGGCUCGGGGCUGGACGUUUCCCCCAGCAGAAGCAGGUACUCUGCCACUUCGUUUUCAGUAGGCGGGGGUGGGGCUUGCUGGGUCGCCGGCGGCGGCGUGGCAGGGGAGGGCGGAUCCAUCUACUCGAUUUCUCGUUUGAGAUCCGAGGAGAAAGAUAGCGAGAGCAAAGAUGGGCUGGAGGUGGUGUAUGGGACGUGGCCUAUGCCGUUUAUAUAACAGUGGUGUAGUAAAUGUUUGCCUGAGUUGGCAAGGUGGACAGCGCGCAUCUGGUCAGCCUAUCAUAAAUUGAGAAAUUGGGUCGCGUUUCUUGCCUCUUUUAGGCUUCAGAUAUUUUAUAUCAAACUUUAAUGACUACUAUUUCUUACAGGCCCGUAUUUGAGGGUGUGGAACAGGGGGUCCAAAUAACUGUCCAAGUGUUAGGACUCGAAAUGAUUGUCUAAGGGCAUCUCUAGUCGGUCCCUCAAAAUUUAGGCCCUUAGGUCAUGUCCAAAGCGGAUCUUCAAAUCUCCCAUAAUCAUCCAAACUCUGGACCGAGCUGUCCGAACGCAAUUUGCUAUCCAACGGCAUCCUGCAUCGGUUCACGGACUAGUCCGGAUGUCCGUUUUCCCGUAGACCAAAAGCAAACUAGGAUGCUUUGCGGGAGUCUGGACACCAGCCAUGUAGGACUCUGACACCCCCGCCCAUCCAAAACCCAGCCCGGACCCCGUGUCUUCAUCCUUCCCACUUUAUCUGCAUCCGCUUUCUCUGUUGCCUGCGUCGAUGCUCUACCACUCGGUCGUCUGCGAAGCCCCUACCAGAAAUCCGCAACCUCCAUGACAUCCACCACUACACCAGGCCUCCACGUCUCUUGUCCUCUGCCGCCAAUCCACACCUCUUGUCCGCCCACCAUGUGGUACCACAUCCGCCCCUAUAGAAGUCACCACGCCAUGCAAGUGUUCGGUGAAAUGCUCAUGCUAAUUUCCUUGUCCCUUCUUUAUACAGUAAUGGAUUCAGACAUGGAGAACAUAUAUGAGCGCUAUGUUGAGUCGUCCGAGGAGCAAGACUACAUGGAUGAAAUGAUAAUGAUGCAGGUGGUCCUUGCAGACGCGGAGCAAGCAGAAGAGCAUGUUCUCAAUUUCAAGGGAUCCAUCAAGCUUCAUGAAUUGUUCAAUCAGGCACGGGCCAUUUGACGUCGGUAAAUGACUAUUUUGCCCCGGUGUCCUAUUUGCUGAUAAUUUUUGUCGGAGCUUUCGGAUGCAAAAAAAAUGUCUUUGAUCACCUCUACCAUGGCGUCCGGUCCUUCGAUGACUACAUCAUGAAGAAGGAUGCCCUAGGAAGCGUUAGAUUAUCUAGUUACUAGAAGUGCACAGACGCAUUGCCGAUGCUUGCAAAUGGCAUGGCCGCAGAUUCAUGGGACACGUGCUAGUUGAUUUCAAGUUGGAACUACGUUAAUUUGAAAUAAAAUUGGAUUCUAAUAUUUAAAUUAGAACUACAAUUUGAUAUGUGGUUAUUUUGAGCUUGCGGACUUACAAAAGAGGCAGAAGUUUCGCGGCUAGCUUUAGAUAGCGGGCUACAGCAUCACUGUCCAUGGGCUGGUCUUGAGGGAUUGUCCAGAGAUGCUUUAAGUGUUAGCUAGUAUCCUAGUACUUUCUCCAUUUCUUUUUAGUCCGCAUAUAAUCAAAGUCAAGCUUUGUAGAGUUUGACUAACUUUAUAUUAAAAAAUAUAAACAUUCACAAUAUGAAAUCAAUAAUAUCAGAUGCAUCAUGAAACGUAUUUGCAUACUAUAUAGUUUUAGUAUUGUAGAUGUUCAUAUUUUUUUAUAUAAAUUUGGUCAAACUUUAUGUAGUUUGAUUUUGACCAAAUCUUAUAUGCGGAGUAAAAAAACGGAGGGAGUACUAGCAAUAACCCUAGAAAAGUUCAGACUAGUACUAUUUCUUGUGCGAGCAGUAUCCAACAAUGAAUCAAGCUACUUCUCUCUCUCUCUCUCUCUCUCUCUCUCUCUCUCUCUCUCUCUCUCUCUCUCUCUCUCUCUCUCUCCAUUUGGUUACAAACCCCAAGAAAAUUAACUGGUGUCUCAGAUAAUUGCUAUUUUUUUCAUAUCAGGUAAACUCCAUUCUAUUUCUAAUUAAAGGUGUAAGACAUUAAACUUUUACUUUGGUUUUAUUUUUCAUAUAUGAUUCGUUGAUUUGCUCCUUUUCUCAUGUGAAAUAACCUUUUAUUAGUUUUUACUUUAAUCUUUCAAGUUUUUACCGUCCUUUGUCAAUAUGUGAUUUUAAAUAUUUUUACUCAUUCCUCCUUUUAUCGUGCUAAAGAAAGAACGACAUAGGGAUUUCCCUUUUGGUCUCUCGAGUCUAUAAAAAGUUGAAUAAACAGUCUUCAGAUGCUAAUAUGUUGAUUUCACUCUCUCCCUCUCCUAUACCACGGCCUCUGCAAUGUUAUCCAUAUAAUCAUUUCACACUGGUUUUAUUCAAUUUAUUCAUUUUCACGUAUAUAUUAUAUUCUCGGACAUGUUUAUUUGAGCUGGUAUAGAGGUGAGAUACUCUAUUGGGCUAGGGCGACAUAGUGCUUUGCAACCCCAUGACUUGUUUUGAAGAGCGAGGCGAGAAUAAUAGAUUGAAUCUAAUACUUGCAACGGCAAUGACAUAACCAACAAAGCAAUGGUUUUAUUUUCUUUCCUUAGUACCGCUUAUUAGAUUUUUAGAACAUUGGCAUGUACAUAUAUGUCUGUAAAUUUUCCAAUAUGAUUAUGAUCUUAUAUAUGUUGGCAUUGAACUUUUAUAGAUGGCUACGAUCUUAUAUAUGCUUCUUGUGAAGUUUCUUUAAUAGCUAUGAUUUUAAAUACGUUAUAUAUUGGCCGAGAACAUAUGGCUAUUUGUGAAUAUUUGUAAACAUAUGUGAUGUUGUACUUUAUAAAUAUACAUUGUUAUAUUGGACACGAAGCAUUUUUUGUUGCAUUGAAUAUGACCCACAUGGCACAUGGUUCAGGAAGAAGAAUAUGCGGAAUGAGGACCUCAACACACAUGGAGAGUCGUAAAUCUCUAUUUACGAUGAGACACCACAACACAAAUGGUUAUUUUUUUUCUCGUCCGCAUGUGAUGUUGUCAAGUUCGUUGUUGUUUGUACUAGGUACUGACAAUGUUCGAAACCAUUACAAAGUACUAGUUCAGAGCAAACAAACAAACAAAAAAAGAAACAGGGGGGCGGGGGCGCAAUCAGAUUGCAUUCCACCAUCUGUUCAACAUUUACUCAUGUUGCUAAGAAGCAACAACAAUGUCAAUGAAAUAAGCUAAGCGGGGCCGACAUCGUCAUCUUGCACAGCAGAUGGG